UUUUUUUUUUUUUUUUUUGGCAUAAUCCAACCUGGUCGCUACAAUUCCGCGCAGACUCUCCGGGCCAAGCAGGCACCACGUGGCCACGGUUCAUGCUCUCAGAAUCGACUCAGCCAGCUAUGGAACGAAGGACAAUGAUCCCCGUUACUUGCUGUACUUUCCAGGACUGGUUCCUGAUCCACUUUGGGGGAGGAGGAAACAGGAAUGGACAUAAUUUCGGGGAGCGCCCCGAAAUGCCACACUUGAACAUUUUAUGACAGUUAAAAGACCAUCUCAUCUUUUGCGGUGCUGGUUUCAAUGUAAAACAUGAGGUACCACGAGAGGACCCUCUUGGGGCUGAAUAGAAGUAACCGUUAUUUGUCUGUCCCCUCUUUUUUCAAAGGGUUGCUGUUAGCAGAGUGUUGAAAGAAAGCUGUAUCCCAUGAGUGUAGGGCGGGAGGCAGCAGUGAGCAGUGCUGGGUGAUGGAAGGGCAUGGCGAAGCACCGAGUGAACCCUCCUGCCUUUGUAAAGUGUGUUUUUAAAGGACACCCAUUCCUCUUUGGGUUCAAGGUCAGUUUCCUGGGUGUGUUCCGUGUAGUGGGACUUCAGCACAGACACUAACCGAAUUGCCUUGCUGAGGGAUGAGCACACUGUUUUGCAAAUGCUGGAGUCCUUUAAGGGCUCUCCUGCCAUCUCUGGGAGGGGGUGGGGUGGCUGGUAUUGAGUGUCUGUGCUUCUGGCCCGAGGCCCCCUCCCCUUCCACUCCUUCCAGCUUCCAGACAAACUGCCUGGAGACAGUGACUGCAUUCCACCUUUUCCCCCUUGUUUCUGCUGCUCUACUCAAGUGGGGUGACGCUGCUGAUGCUAGGGGCCCGGAUAGGGGGCUGGGGAGGCUUCUCAUAAUGGGCACUCCAGGGACACAGUCUCACACAACCGUGUAUAAUGAGCUCUAGGGGCCGGCUCUGCGGGGAACAGCUGCAGUUCUCUGGAUAGACAGAGUUGAUUUCCUCCUUCUGACCCUCCCCCAGCUGUGCCAGCUGGCCUUUGUAAGGGAAGGAAACCUAGUAAAAAAUGUGACCUUCCAAAGGGGAAAGCUGCAGGCUUUUUGCUAUUGUGACUGUGAAGUGCUUCGAAAUACUGUUCACUCUGAGCAACCGUUUUCGUUUUAGUUUUAUGGAGUUAAUGGCUUGUUCAGCAUCCAGAUGUGGCUAUUGACAAUAUCUACUCUUCGCACCAGAGUGACUGGAGUUGUGGCUGUCCUGAUGAUAGGAUUUUAACUUAACUGAAAUAACUGUUUUUGAAUAAAUGUAUUGGUUUUUUUUCCAGAAAAAAAAAAGAAUGAGAAGCCCAAAAGUAUAAACCAGGACAUUCUGUAUAUUUUUUACGAGUCUAGUGAAUGUAUACGAAAAUAAAUGAGACAUGCGUUCUUAGUGUG
rnacentral:lncRNA from 1 species